CGGCCGGGAACUCAAAGGAGACUGCCAGUGAUAAACUGGAGGAAGGUGGGGAUGACGUCAAGUCAUCAUGGCCCUUACGAGUAGGGCUACACACGUGCUACAAUGGCAUAUACAAAGAGAAGCGACCUCGCGAGAGCAAGCGGACCUCAUAAAGUAUGUCGUAGUCCGGAUUGGAGUCUGCAACUCGACUCCAUGAAGUCGGAAUCGCUAGUAAUCGUGGAUCAGAAUGCCACGGUGAAUACGUUCCCGGGCCUUGUACACACCGCCCGUCACACCAUGGGAGUGGGUUGCAAAAGAAGUAGGUAGCUUAACCUUCGGGAGGGCGCUUACCACUUUGUGAUUCAUGACUGGGGUGAAGUCGUAACAAGGUAACCGUAGGGGAACCUGCGGUUGGAUCACCUCCUUACCUUAAAGAA
rnacentral:rRNA from 1 species